UGGAGCCACCAUCAUUCUAUAGCUCCUGGUAAAGUCCUCUGCCAGAAGCUGUUGUUACUAUGGUAUUAAUGCACGUGUGUGAGAGUACAAGAUCCAGUUAGAUCUCAUGCAUGCACAAUAAGGCACCAUAAGCAUAAAUUGUGCAUUGUGUGAUAUGACUGUUUUCGUUACCAUUAUGACAGACUGAUGAUGGGAAAUUGUGAAACUUCACCUUUGCCAAAGAAUGGCAAAUACAUGAAGUAAUACAUUCCCUACUUUCUCUCAUAUACAUCUUUUCAUAUUAAGUGUCAAAGUGACAUUGCACUUGCGUGAUUUAUUGACUGCACUGGGUUUUAAUUACAGCGCCAUUGAUCCUUAAUUUUUUUAAGUUUUUGUAUCUUGUCAUAUGUUUCAAAGAUGUUCCAACUCAAAAAGAGCUUAU